rnacentral:rRNA from 1 species
CGGUCUGGGAUGGGCUCGCGGCCUAUCAGCUUGUUGGUGAGGUAAUGGCUCACCAAGGCGUCGACGGGUAGCCGGCCUGAGAGGGUGACCGGCCACACUGGGACUGAGACACGGCCCAGACUCCUACGGGAGGCAGCAGUGGGGAAUAUUGCACAAUGGGCGAAAGCCUGAUGCAGCAACGCCGCGUGAGGGAUGACGGCCUUCGGGUUGUAAACCUCUUUUAGCAGGGAAGAAGCGAAAGUGACGGUACCUGCAGAAAAAGCGCCGGCUAACUACGUGCCAGCAGCCGCGGUAAUACGUAGGGCGCAAGCGUUAUCCGGAAUUAUUGGGCGUAAAGAGCUCGUAGGCGGUUUGUCGCGUCUGCUGUGAAAUCCCGAGGCUCAACCUCGGGCCUGCAGUGGGUACGGGCAGACUAGAGUGCGGUAGGGGAGAUUGGAAUUCCUGGUGUAGCGGUGGAAUGCGCAGAUAUCAGGAGGAACACCGAUGGCGAAGGCAGAUCUCUGGGCCGUAACUGACGCUGAGGAGCGAAAGGGUGGGGAGCAAACAGGCUUAGAUACCCUGGUAGUCCACCCCGUAAACGUUGGGAACUAGUUGUGGGGACCAUUCCACGGUUUCCGUGACGCAGCU